rnacentral:rRNA from 1 species
AACGAACGCUGGCGGCAUGCCUAACACAUGCAAGUCGAACGAGACCUUCGGGUCUAGUGGCGCACGGGUGCGUAACGCGUGGGAAUCUGCCCUUCGGUUGGGAAUAACUGAGAGAAAUUUCAGCUAAUACCUUAUAAUGUCUUCGGACCAAAGAUUUAUCGCCGAGGGAUGAGCCCGCGUAGGAUUAGGUAGUUGGUGGGGUAAUGGCCUACCAAGCCGACGAUCCUUAGCCGGUCUGAGAGGAUGAUCAGCCACACUGGGACUGAGACACGGCCCAGACUCCUACGGGAGGCAGCAGUGGGGAAUAUUGGACAAUGGGCGAAAGCCUGAUCCAGCAAUGCCGCGUGAGUGAUGAAGGCCUUAGGGUUGUAAAGCUCUUUUACCCGGGAUGAUAAUGACAGUACCGGGAGAAUAAGCUCCGGCUAACUCCGUG